GACGAACCGUGCGAACGUUAUUCGGAAUCACUGGGCUUAAAGGGUGCGUAGGCGGGUUGCCAAGUCUGUGGUGAAAUCCUCCGGCUUAACCGGAGAACUGCCGUGGAUACUGGCGACCUCGAGGGGUGUAGGGGCUUGCGGAACUGUGCGUGGAGCGGUGAAAUGCGUUGAUAUGCACAGGAACUCCGGUGGCGAAAGCGGCGAGCUGGACACCUUCUGACGCUGAGGCACGAAAGCCAGGGGAGCGAACGGG
rnacentral:rRNA from 2 species